rnacentral:rRNA from 1 species
UUUCGCCGGAGCUUGCUCCACCGAAAGAAAAGGAGUGGCGAACGGGUGAGUAACACGUGGGUAACCUGCCCAUCAGAAGGGGAUAACACUUGGAAACAGGUGCUAAUACCGUAUAACAAUCGAAACCGCAUGGUUUCGGUUUGAAAGGCGCUUUUGCGUCACUGAUGGAUGGACCCGCGGUGCAUUGGCUAGUUGGUGAGGUAACGGCUCACCAAGGCAACGAUGCAUAGCCGACCUGAGAGGGUGAUCGGCCACAUUGGGACUGAGACACGGCCCAAACUCCUACGGGAGGCAGCAGUAGGGAAUCUUCGGCAAUGGACGCAAGUCUGACCGAGCAACGCCGCGUGAGUGAAGAAGGUUUUCGGAUCGUAAAACUCUGUUGUUAGAGAAGAACAAGGAUGAGAGUAAAAUGUUCAUCCCUUGACGGUAUCUAACCAGAAAGCCACGGCUAACUACGUGCCAGCGGCCGCGGUAAUACGUAGGUGGCAAGCGUUGUCCGGAUUUAUUGGGCGUAAAGCGAGCGCAGGCGGUUUCUUAAGUCUGAUGUGAAAGCCCCCGGCUCAACCGGGGAGGGUCAUUGGAAACUGGGGAACUUGAGUGCAGAAGAGGAGAGUGGAAUUCCAUGUGUAGCGGUGAAAUGCGUAGAUAUAUGGAGGAACACCAGUGGCGAAGGCGGCUCUCUGGUCUGUAACUGA